AACUUGUUAUUAUCAGUCUGUUAUUAUCAGCUUGUUAUUAUCAGCUUGUUAUUAUCAGCUUGUUAUUAUCAACUUGUUAUUAUCAGUUUGUUAUUAUCAGCUUGUUAUUAUCAGCUUGUUAUUAUCAGCUUGUUAUUAUCAACUUGUUAUUAUCAGUUUGUUAUUAUCAGCUUGUUAUUAUCAGCUUGUUAUUAUCAGCUUGUUAUUAUCAGCGUGUUAUUAUCAGCGUGUUAUUAUCAGCUUGUUAUUAUCAGCUUGUUAUCAUCUUGUUAUUAUCAGCUUGUUAUUAUCAGCUUGUUAUUAUCAGUUUGUUAUUAUCAGCUUGUUAUUAUCAGCUUGUUAUCAGCUUGUCAUUAUCAGCUUGUUAUUAUCAGCUUGUUAUUAUCAGCUUGUUAUUAUCAGUUUGUUAUUAUCAGCUUGUUAUUAUCACUUUGUUAUUAUCAGCUUGUUAUUAUCAGCUUGUUAUUAUCAGCUUGUUAUUAUCAGCUUGUUAUUAUCAGUUUGUUAUUAUCAGCUUGUUAUUAUCAGCUUGUUAUUAUCAGCUUGUUAUUAUCAGCUUGUUAUUAUCAGUGUGUUAUUAUCAGCGUGUUAUUAUCAGCUUGUUAUUAUCAACUUGUUAUUAUCAGCUUGUUAUUAUCAUCAACUUGUUAUUAUCAACUUGUUAUUAUCAGCUUGUUAUUAUCAGUUUGUUAUUAUCAGCUUGUUAUCAGCUUGUUAUCAGCUUGUUAUUAUCAGCUUGUUAUUAUCAGCUUGUUAUCAGCUUGUUAUUAUCAGCUUGUUAUUAUCAGCUUGUUAUUAUCAACUUGUUAUUAUCAGCUUGUUAUUAUCAGCUUGUUAUUAUCAACUUGUUAUUAUCAGUCUGUUAUUAUCAGCUUGUUAUUAUCAGUCUGUUAUUAUCAGCUUGUUAUUAUCAGUCUGUUAUUAUCAGCUUGUUAUUAUCAGUCUGUUAUUAUCAGCUUGUUAUUAUCAGUCUGUUAUUAUCAGCUUGUUAUUAUCAGUCUGUUAUUAUCAGCUUGUUAUUAUCAGUCUGUUAUUAUCAGCUUGUUAUUAUCAGUCUGUUAUUAUCAGCUUGUUAUUAUCAGUCUGUUAUUAUCAGCUUGUUUGCACUGGCCUUAUCUUUUCUCCCAGAAGAAAAUAAAACACGUGGGUUGCUAAAGAAUCCUCUCUGCUCUCUUUCUAGGAGAGAGAGAAACAGGAAGACUGAGAGACAGAGACAGACUAACACACACUGUGUGUGUGUGUGUUCAUUCCUCUGCUCUGUCCAAGAUGGCGACCCAUACUUCUACAUUGCCUGGUAAGCGGAACCUGUCUCUCCAGCCUUUGUUACAUGCAUACACAAGGAGUGAAGCAGGCCUCACACGGGUAAAUAGUUGACAACAUGAAGGAGAGAUUUACAGUAGGGAGAGGGAAGUUAGAUACUGAACAACAAUGUGACAGAAAACGUUUGGAGCAGGGACAUGCUCUAGUCAAAUCAGGGAAUGUUAGUGAUUGCAUUUGAGGAUGAAAGUGCCUUAUUCUGUGUGUGUAUGGAAUGCAUGCUUAUCAAAUCAAAUUGUAUUGGUCACAUGCACAGAAUACAAUAGGUGUGGACUUUACAGUGAAAUGCUUACUCAUGACCCCAUACCCAACUGUGCAGAUUAAAGAAAACUAGUCUAUUGACACACCGGUGUGUCAAUCUGAGUAACAUAAUAAACAAAUCCCUACAUUUAAGCUACAGAUAGCUGUUUUUUUGCAUGGGCCUCCAUCCACAGCAUCCACCUAGGUUGUACUUCCCCAUCUACAGUAUGUUGGAAAGUGGCAGAGAGCUACAGCUCUGUUUGUCACAGCAGGAGACAUCCCAAAAAUCUAUUUUCUCACCGAAACGUCUGUAGCAUCUGAACGGUUUGGCUAAUAUGACCACUCUAAACUAAUUUGAGCACUGUAUUGAAAGGGGAGGCUCUCACAAACAAGGUGGUGUUCUCUGUUUUGCUCUACGACCCCCACAAAUGUCACAGGACUCGUCUGUAGGUAACCCAUGCAAAUUAAUUAUUUUUUAAAUAUAUUUUUUAGGGAUACCUAAAGGGGUCCUAAAACUCUAAAUCAAAUAGCUAAAUGAUCCAUGGUAUGACCUUCUUAAAACAAUUCCAUAUGGAAGGUUAGACAACGGCUUAACUUUUAAGAAUGAAAAAGUAAGAAAUAUUUGCUCAAUAAAAAAGGAAAUGGUAACAAAAUAAAAACAAUAAGGAGGCUAUAUACAGGAUGUACCAGUUUAUAUAUACAGGAAG
ensembl:lncRNA